UUUUAAAUUUUUUGUUUGUAAGCUUGUUACAGGUCAUUGAUUUUUUCAAAAAACGAACUCUCUGCUGCAAUUUUCUGUUUUUUUCUUGUAAACUACGUAUUUCAUCUUUUUUUAUUUUGCAUGAACCACACUUUACUCUCUGCAUUGUGUCUGAAGCAAUAUUUAAAUCACUUGCAACGUUUAAGUGAAUAAUUGUAUUAGAACUAUUUCUUUUUCUUUCAUAUUUAAAUGGUUGCUGCAAAAAAUUAACAAUAGCAGCCCAUGACUGGAAAAAAUUUUGUAAAUGUCACCAUUUAACAAAGGCUUCGAUUGGCAUUUAUAUGAAUUAAUUAAAACGCAAAUAUCUUUUGCAGUCUUGUGGUCCAUCUAAAGUAAAGAAAAAUA